rnacentral:tRNA from 1 species
UCCCCGUUAGCUCAGUUGGCAGAGCGCUUGACUGUUAAUCAGGAUGUCGCUGGUUCGAGUCCAGCACGGGGAG